rnacentral:tmRNA from 1 species
GGGGGUGCGUUGGUUUCGACUGGUGCGAUUCGGGCUGUAGGCUGCAGGUGGAGUGCCGAUCUCCUGAUUCGGCAAAAAUUUAACUGCCAACAACGACAGUUACGAUUACGCCUUAGCUGCGUAACCGCGGGGAACCGUUCCGCCGCUCUGAGGGACGGCUUCCCUGUCGCAAUCAGGGCUGGCCGAGCCGCCGUUUUCAGAGACGGCCCGGUAAGAAUUUCUGAAAUACGGACAGACUGCGCGAGCCGCCCUGCUUCAUUUGUCCCGACAAAAUAAAUGGCGGAUAAACCUGUAGAGGUUUGCGGUGCGCGUAUUAGGACGCGGGUUCGACUCCCGCCACCUCCAA